GACGAACGCUGGCGGCGUGCUUAACACAUGCAAGUCGAGCGAUGAAGCCGGAGCUUGCUCCGGUGGAUUAGUGGCGAACGGGUGAGUAACACGUGAGCAAUCUGCCCUUGACUCUGGGAUAACUGCGGGAAACUGUAGCUAAUACCGGAUACGACACCUUGGGGCAUCCCAGGGUGUGGAAAGAAUUUCGGUCAAGGAUGAGCUCGCGGCCUAUCAGCUAGUUGGUGAGGUAAUGGCUCACCAAGGCGACGACGGUUAGCCGGCCUGAGAGGGUGACCGGCCACACUGGAACUGAGACACGGUCCAGACUCCUACGGGAGGCAGCAGUGGGGAAUAUUGCACAAUGGGCGAAAGCCUGAUGCAGCAACGCCGCGUGAGGGAUGAAGGCCUUCGGGUUGUAAACCUCUUUUAGCAGGGAAGAAGCGAAAGUGACGGUACCUGCAGAAAAAGCACCGGCUAACUACGUGCCAGCAGCCGCAGUAA
rnacentral:rRNA from 1 species